GGCGGCUAUGGGGCUCUAUGGGGCUCUAUGGGCGCUAUGGGCCUCUAUGGGGCUCUAUGGGGCUCUAUGGGGCUCUAUGGGGCGGCUAUGGGGCUCUAUGGGGCUCUAUGGGGCUCUAUGGGGCGGCUAUGGGGCUCUACGGGGCUCUAUGGGGCUCUAUGGGGCUCCAUGGGGCAGCUAUGGGGCUCUAUGGGGCUCUAAUGGGCUCUUUUGGGGCUCUAUGGGGAUCUAUGGGGCUCUACGGGGCGGCUAUGGGGCUCUAUGGGGCUUUAUGGGGCUCUUAUGGGGCGGCUAUGGGGCUCUAUGGGGCUCUAUGGGGCUCUAUGGGGCGGCUAUGGGGCUCUAUGGGGCUCUAUGGGGCUCUAUGGGGCUCUAUGGGGCGGCUAUGGGGCUCUAUGGGGCUCUAUGGGGCUCUAUGGGCGGCUAUGGGGCUCUAUGCGGCUCUAUGGGGCUCUAUGGGGCGGCUAUGGGGCUCUACGGGGCUCUAUGGGGCUCUAUGGGGCUCUAUGGGCGGCUAUGGGGCU
ensembl:lncRNA